CAGUAGCCACGGGAAUACGAAGGGUGCAAGCGUUAAUCGGAAUUACUGGGCGUAAAGCGUGCGUAGGCGGUGAGUUAAGUCUGCUGUGAAAUCCCCGGGCUCAACCUGGGAAUGGCAGUGGAUACUGGCUCGCUAGAGUGUGUCAGAGGAUGGUGGAAUUCCCGGUGUAGCGGUGAAAUGCGUAGAGAUCGGGAGGAACAUCAGUGACGAAGGCGACCAUCUGGGGCAACACUGACGCUGAGGCACGAAAGCGUGGGGAGCAAACAGGAUUAGAUACCCCCGUAGUCCCUGUCUCUUAUAC
rnacentral:rRNA from 1 species